UUGCCAAGUUCGGGAUUUUAUCCCGAGAUCUCGGGAUUUUUUGAAGCAGUUGGGAUUUUUUUGGGAUUUAUUUCUCAAAUGGUAAUCUCGGGAUUUUUUUAGGGAUUUUUGGGAAAGGGAAGUUUGGAAUUUGGGAAAAGAUGUUUUCGUUAAAUUGACAAAUAAACAUUUUAAAAAUCCAAGGUUCGUCCGCUUGUACUUAAAAUACUUACUCAAAGUCACUCAAUAAAGACUAUUUGUACAAUCGGUUAUGCAGAGAAGUACCGCUUUAUAAACGCACACUGAGCGGACUGGGUACUAGGGUGCGCCAAGGCUGAGGACUGGGGUUGAAAUUAGAAUCUCGGGAUUUUAGGGGGAAUCUCGGGAUAUUUCAGGCGCUUACUUGGGAUUUUCACAAAAUUACAGUUGGCAACACUGGUUUAGUCACUUUAGUGUUUACAUUUCCUUCUCUACUGUGACAACUGUGAUUCGAGUCUGUUACAAGUUUAAAUUAUGUUUAUUGUGAAGGCGAUUUUAAGAUUUUUUUGGAGAUGAACACACGAGAGCUUAUGAUGUUGUAUAAAGAAGAAAUUAUAAGAGGCGAAUAAAUUUAUGGUUCCGUUACAAACGAUGCAAAGAAAUUCAAGACUUCGAAGGUCCCGAAUAGCUUGAAAGUGAAAAGUCUGCUUUAUUCUAAUAAUUCAGAGACCACCGAAGCGCAUGGCGACGCGAACAGAUUCGACAUCACAAGAGAGACUUGGUGACCUUUGUAUAUUAUGAAGAUCAUGAAUUAAGGCGAUGAUGUUAUUGCAACAGUUGAGCAGGCACCAUACACUCCAACAAACAAGAACAAGGGUGACCAACAAGACAAGAAAACACCACCAAGUGUCAAGUCGAGACGACAUCAAGUCAAUAAACUGUUUAUAGAGAAAACAACGCAAUUGCAAUGGAAUCUUCGAAAAAUCCGCCAUGGUCGCAUGCGUAAGCAACAAGAACGAACAGUAAGGCAGGAUGAGUGUUGACGAUGUGUUGCUUUUUACCACCAUUUAUCGGGAUAGUACACCUGGUAUACAAUUAUUGCAAUGAUUCAUUCCGACAGAACUGGUUCGUUGUUUAUCAGAGCAAGUUUCAUGGAAUAAAAUUGUGAAGAAUUGUGAAUGCUUUCAUGGUCGGAAUAAAUCAAACAUAUCAAAUACAGAAAAGCCGAUGGAAAAUUCUUUUUACAAUUCUUACCUGUGAUUGUUGUUGACGUCGUGUUAAAAGAAUAGCACCACUUAAUAAUGUCGUGCAAAAUUGGUAUGGAUAAGGGGAAAAUUUCUGCUCAAGCAGCCGUGAUGUGCCUAAAAAUAAGGUGGAGGGUUUGCCAGACGUAAUUACUCCAAUAUAAUGAUGAGGACCAAUCGGGUGUCUUGUAAUUAACGCGCAUUUUAAUUAUAACCGGAAAUUUACAAGCACGUCUAAUCGUACGUCUCAAUACGGACGAUCUUCGAAAAUAAACGUGAAUGUUUUAUAUGUAAUGUGACAAACGAAGAUAUAGCUGUCAUGAAAAUUAGCUCAUUCUAAUGAACAACUCACGAUACACUUUUAUACAGUUAGUUUAUUCUCUGAACUUUGACCUCGGAUUAGGCUAAGCGUAGGAGAAGAAUCUCCUCUAUGUAAAUAUACGUCAUUUAUUACACGAUUUUAAAUAUUUAUAA